AUGUCGCAACUGGCUUUGCUAGCGGUGCUGCCGCUGCGACAGAACCUGCAGAAACUGAGAUCUGCCAGUCUGUUGUGCGCUGCUGGCUGGGUGAGAAACAAACCAACUGGCUGAUCGUCGAUCGUUGAACAAUUCACUAGUCGUUGACUGCGGUGGAGAUUGUGGCCGGAAUCCGAGUUUUUAGCUGAUUUUCUGAUACUCCCUCCGUAAAAAAAAAAUCUCAACUUUGUCAAAAUUUGAAUGUAUCUAGACAUGACUUAGUAUAUAGAUGUAUUCAAAUUUAAUCAAAAUUGAGAGGUCCUUUGUUAGACGGAGGAAGUAUCAUACCAUUCGAUACACGUUUUUGGAACUCUGUUAUGUAUUGACGGGCGCGGUGCGCUACAGCAACACAAACCGAUUGAACUUGCCUGAAUCUCAAAGCACAUCGCCCCAUAAAGCAAGGGUUUUGCAUGCAAAACCUCUCGAUAGCUCCGGAGCGAUCUUGCCCCACCGUUGUGUCCGUCCGAUCCUGGCCUUCAUUGAGUCGCACGGUCUGGGAAAUUCUCCUUUUUGUAUCAAACAAUUGAUUUGACUAUUUUUCUAGCCCUGCGUACGCUCGUCGAGUCAUGUCCUUGGCCCCACGUUCAUGUCAGGUUGUCUCACCUUGCCAGACCGAUGGUGGGUUAAGAUAUUUUGUCUUUCUUCGUUCUGUUCCUUCCUCCUCUUCCUCCUUCGCUCCAUCUGUUCGUCCCUCUGGAAGAGAUCAUUCCUGAACUCCGUAUCUAGUUCCUCCUUCCCUCCAUCUUUGUUGUUCCACGUUCUGUUCUUCGUGCUUCUUCCUCGAUCGUUCUGUUUUUGUACUCCGUCUUCUUCCUGCUUCUCUGAGAUGUACCUUCGUCCCAGUUCUUCGCGAGAUGAUGUACAUUUCGUCCUCCUUCAUAUUUGCUAGGCCAGCAUUUCCAGAUUGCGUUGCUGCUCCCCCCAAACCGAACAAAUGAGCCUUUCCAAGUUCAAAGGACGUGCUGCACAUUCUGAUAGUACUGAUGAAGUCACACAGUACGAUAGCAAUGAUGAAAGUCAAACUUCUGCAACAACCAAGUCAGCAACAUCAAGGACCUCCGCAAAGACCCUCUACUAGAUUAUCAAGAAAUUCAAUGCAAUCAAAAGGCAGUUGGUCAAGGAAAUAGGUUUUGGCAGAUUAUUGGAACUGCCUCUAUGGAAUUCAGUUAGUCGCAUUUUCAGUACUUGGCUUCUUCGGCACGUUGAUUGCAUAGACCUCGCAAUCGUCAUGGAUUCAAUUCGGAGGCUCCCCUUUGUACCUCAGGAUGUCAAUAGAGUAUUUGGUAUUCCAUGCGGGCAUCGCGAUGUACUGGGACCUGAAACUAAAAUAUCGGAUGCGACCAUGGCAUACAUUCGUGAACAAGCUGGUAUAUCCAUGACCAAGAUCAGCCUCAAAGAUGCCGAGAAGAUUGUCCUCAUGGAUUUGUCAGAAGAAAGCACAAGAUUACAAAAGGACGCAUUCAAGAUGGCAUUUGUUAUCAUUGUUAUGGGUCAUCUCCUUUCACCAUCUACAAAGUAUGAUCAUGUCAAUACUGAUUUCCUUGGCGCCUUGCGUUGUUCCGAAGAGAUUGGUGAAUACAACUGGUGUGCGUAUGUUCUAAAAGGGAUCAUUGAGGCAGCUCAAAAACUACAGGCUGACUUAUCCAUGAACAAAGUUGUUUCCAACAUAUUUGGUUGUCACAUAUUUCUGCAGAUCCACUAUCUAGAUAAUCUCUUACUUGGACCACUACAACCUCGAAAGAAUAUUUUCCCUCGUAUGAAGGCUUUUCCAACAGAAGUACUUAACAAGCUUAUAUUAGCUGAUGCUAAGCCCGG